rnacentral:rRNA from 1 species
AUUGAACGCUGGCGGCAGGCCUAACACAUGCAAGUCGAACGGUAGCACAGAGAGCUUGCUCUCGGGUGACAAGUGGCGGACGGGUGAGUAAUGUCUGGGAAACUGCCCGAUGGAGGGGGAGAACUACUGGAAACGGUAGCUAAUACCGCAUAACGUCGCAAGACCAAAGGGGGGGACCUUCGGGCGUCACACCAUCGGAUGUGCCCAGAUGGGAUUAGCUAGUAGGUGGGGUAAUGGCUCACCUAGGCGACGAUCCAUAGCUGGUGUGAGAGGAUGACCAGCCACACUGGAACUGAGACACGGUCCAGACUCCUACGGGAGGCAGCAGUGGGGAAUAUUGCACAAUGGGCGCAAGCCUGAUGCAGCCAUGCCGCGUGUAUGAAGAAGGCCUUCGGGUUGUAAAGUACUUUCAGCGGGGAGGAAGGCGGUUAAGUUAAUAACUUCACCGAUUGACGUUACCCGCAGAAGAAGCACCGGCUAACUCCGUGCCAGCAGCCGCGGUAA